UUCAAGUAUUCUGGCCAUUUUAAAAUUGAAUUGUCUUCCUUUUAUUGAAUUGUAUGAUUGUUUUAUAUAUUUUGGAUAUUAACCCCUUAUCAGAUGUAUCAUUAGCAAAUAUGUUCUCCCGUACAUUGGCCUCCCAUUUCAUUUUGAUAGUGGUUUCUUUUUCUGUUCAGAAUCUUUUUAUUUUGAUGUAGUCCCAUUU